UGGACUUAAAUAGGAAAGACUUAUUCACAAAUGUGCUAUCCUCGAGAAAAACAUCAGCGACGUAUCUUGCAGUUUUUAAAAGCAAAAUGAAGCCAGCAAUGUUAUUUGCUUUUUGUCUGGUGGUCGCUUUGGUUGCAGAAUUUUUUGGAGAAGAAAAUGACCAUCGCAUACGCAAGUGUAAGAAGAAGUGUAAAGUUGGGGAAUGCUGCAGGAUAGUCUGCUAUUGAUAUGAAUGCUUUCUACAGAGAGGACUGGGACAGCCUUGUCGCAAGAAGCCGCCUACUUAUUUCUGUCACCACGGUUGUCGCGAUGGACUGGCGUGUAAACGUGUCUGUCGUCCCACCCCUGCAGAUGAAAGGCAUCCUCAUCACCGCAGGCGUUUCAAGUGCAUCCGUCCUCCACCUACAGAGGAGCCCGGUUCUGGAGACAUUUACGUGUAGUCUUACAUGAUAAAUUAAUAAACGUCAGCGCAGUCGGGCACCUUAAGCCAACU